rnacentral:rRNA from 1 species
CACGUAGUUAGCCGUGGCUUUCUGAUUAGGUACCGUCAAGAUGUGCACAGUUACUUACACAUUUGUUCUUCCCUAAUAACAGAGUUUUACGAGCCGAAACCCUUCAUCACUCACGCGGCGUUGCUCCGUCAGGCUUUCGCCCAUUGCGGAAGAUUCCCUACUGCUGCCUCCCGUAGGGGUCUGGACCGUGUCCUCAGUUCCAGUGUGGCCGAUCCACCCUCUCAGGUCGGCUACGUAUCGUCGCCUUGGUAAGCCGUUACCUUACCAACUAGCUAAUACGGCGCGGGUCCAUCUAUAAGUGAUAGACAAAACCAUCUUUCACUUUAGAACCAUGCGGUUCUAAAUGUUAUCCGGUAUUAGCUCCGGUUUCCCGAAGUUAUCCCAGUCUUAUAGGUUAGGUCACCCUACGUGUUACCUCACCCCGUCCGCCGCUAACUUACGAAAGGAGCAAGCUCCUUAUCUGUUCGCUCGACUUGCAUGUAUUACGGCACCGGCCGCC